UGAGGGUUUCACCAUGUUGGCCAGGCUGGUCUUGAACUCCUGACCUCAGGUAUUCAAGACCAGCCUGGCCAACAUGGUGAAACCCUCA
rnacentral:pre_miRNA from 1 species